rnacentral:lncRNA from 1 species
AAUAAAAAAAAAAUUGCAUAAAAAAUUGGCCAAUUUGCAUAAAAAAUUCACUUAUUUUGGGCUUUUGCAAAAUCGGGCCAUCUUUUUGGCUUUUGUAGAUUCGGUCCGCUUUUUCAACAAACUGACCAAAAUACCCUUAUACCUUUUUCUCUUUCCUCUUUCUCUCUCCUCUUUUUUUCUCUCGUUCUUUUUUCUUUUUCUUCCCAGAGAGCGGCGAAGACGGAGCGGAGGUGCCCUUAUACCUUUUUCUUUUCUCUUUUUUCUCUCGUUUUUUUUUUU